rnacentral:lncRNA from 1 species
UAAACUGGUGAAUGAUAGUAAGAAAAGUUCAUUGUCUUCUGGUAAGUGCUAAAUGAAUAAACAGUCCAGGAUAUGGCUAACCUGGACUAUUAUAGUAUCUAACACUAUUUAAAUAAUUAUUUAUAUUGAACGAUGUGUCCCAAAUGCUACAGGCCCUCUCUUUUCAGAACGGGAACUCAGUGGGGUCAGAGUCUUCAGUGAAUCCAUGACACAAGGUCUAGGGAGAGCCACACCAUGGCAGGAGCUCUGGGGCACUCCUGAAGUAUGGGGGAUACUGAUGGUUCUCAGAGAUGUGAGCUUGUAUGACUCCUUCCCCUGCAGGAAGGACCAAGUUCUCAGUGGAGUACAAGAUUUAACUGAUCCUCACAAAAGAAACCACAGAUCGAAGGCAAUUCUCGUGAUAUGGGCUCAAGAGAACAAGAAAGUGGAGGGGCUAACUCUCCUAACAGGAGACACAUUUGCAGACUAUGAAUUCAUUGGCCGCCAUCCAAACCAAACUUCAGCCCUAUUUCCUCAAUAUUUGGCCCACAUUUAUAAACCUCAGAGAACCUCCCAGCCAACCUGGCUUGAAUCUGAAGUUUCUUUACCCACAUUUUACACAGCCCUGCUUUUAAAACCAGCAAGGCUGCAAUCAACUGCUCAAGAAUCUACUUGUGUUGUAUGUAAUUUCUGUAGUGUUUGCUUAAAAAAAGAAGAAAGAUUACUUGGUGAUUCAAACUGAGUAAGCUUAAUAGAACUGUAAUGAUCUUGGCCAUCAAUUUCAAAGCUGCAAUGGCUAAUCACUGUAGAUCCAGCUCUGUAUCCUGACACACACAUGGAGAGUAUUAACAGAGAUCUUCCCACAAAGUUUCUUUUAGAGCUUAGUACAGCAAUUUGCUAAAUGUUCUCCCUCACAUCUAUAGAAAAGGUCAUGGUCCCUUUUAAAUAAAUACUCUAAUGCCUUCUGCA